rnacentral:lncRNA from 1 species
AGGGUGAAUUGUUGAUUAUGCUUAUUAUAGGCUUUGAAGGAUUAAAUCUGAGAACAUAAUUCUCGAAACGGGGGAGGUUCAAUUGGUGUUCCUGGAGAUGACAAGAAACAUCAUUCAAGGGAAGGAGGAUUCGUUGUGAGAGAGUCGGAUGCCGGCGCGGAUCCUCUCAAAGGACUCAUUGCAGCACCACAAAGACACAGGCAACGGUGCUACUGCUGAUGGUAGAGAGGAGAUCAAUGGCAAGGGAGGCAAGGGAGAAACUGAGGGUGUGAAUCUGAGUUUAUUCUAGAUGUCUUUUUUUGCUGAUCAACUCCAUCUCAAUCGCCAUCCAUCUUCCUCUAAUUUUUCUUUUGUUUCUGUACAGGUCAAAGAGGGUUUACAACUAAGUAUAAAGCUUCACGAGGACUCAUCUUCUUCGGAUGGAAGAUGAUCAGUUACUGAUAAGUUAUAAAAUUUCUAUAUUUCGGUGAUGGUAUCGACUAGGUGUUCUUUCAGAUUUGCUUCUAUCAUGCGUAUUAAAACACGUUCAGCUUAUGUAGAUGAUGCACGGAUACUGCAGUAAAAGUAAAUACUUUACCUGUAAACUGAACUUUUGAUUUAGUAAUUCUACUUUUGGUCCAACAAUCGAUCAAUUGUUGAGGCUAUACUGAACCAAAAAUUGCUUACUGGGGCAGUACUAUAGUCUCUUGAUUAUGCUCUUAAGUAAAUAUCAUGUCUUCCUCUAAUUAGAAAUUUAGAAAACAAUAGGUUAAUCAGAAGCUUUCUUACAAGAAGAGUGCUCUUCAGAAGCUACUACAUGUAUACGCUCACAUCACAUGCAUGUUUUGUUUUCUUAAUUUUCAGGUGCUUGUGAAUAUCUGCAGAAGUACAGUAGCCUGUAGCUUUGUAGGCGUUGAACUAAAUACCAAUCCAAGUAAGAGCGAAAGGAAGAUAAUAUAGGUUUUGAUCCGCCAAAAGGUCUAUUUAUUCUCAUUUCAGUUAAGACUUACCUCUAAACAUUGCAUGAACUCCUGCACAUAUUGGAUACUUUAUUGAUGCACCUUCUUGCAUUUUAAUUCCAUGUAAGUUGUGUACUCUAUUUAAUAAGUUAUUUGUAUUUUGGCUACAAAUGAUUUUAUUGGAUAUACUGUAGACAUUUUCCGCAAGGACUGUUGCAACUUGCUAGACAUAGGAAAAGAUGGGAGUCAAUCCAAGAUGACAUCAGCAACCAAAGGUGAACAUUUAUAUAAACAAUGGGUUUUCUGAUACAAGAAUAAUCAUGUGUUUUUUCUUUGAAGGUGUUUGAUUUUCUUUCGGUGUGGAAAUUAUUAUGAUGAUCAUUCAUCAUAGAUGGGUAUGUGCUUUUCUUCUGACAAAGAAAUUCAAGUUUGAAUCUUAGAUUUAACAAUUAUUUGACAUGUCAUGAAGUGUGUACUGCAUCACUCACAAAAAGCAUAGCUUCCAUCCAGCGGCUUUGGCCGAGUUAAUCUGUGCAUUGAUGUUUCACCAUUUCCUGAAGUUAUAUAACUAUUGUGGUUUCCUUCAGGUUAAUGCGAUUACUCUAUUAAGUGAAGGUUCGUCGUUUUUCCUUGAUCAAGGCUAUUAAUUUAUAGAUGAGUUUUCGAGUAUACUCAUAGUAGUCCAGUGACGAGUAUAAGUUGAAGCAAGAGUCUAUUACAUAAAAAACAUUUUCAUUUGAAAGUAGCCAUAAGAUAGAAAUGGCUACAUAUAUUGUAUACAUGAAAAUUAAGAUGUAUAUAGCAUGUCCGAGAGGCUAUUUUCCUCUUUUUGGUUAUACUUACUACUGUCCAUUUGAAGACAAAGGAAAACUUCUGCGAAACAACUUUUUUCAGAUUGUUUUAUCAUUUUCAACUCAUGGUUCAAUUAUGUUUACCUUUUGUCACCUUAUAUUUAUGGAAAUUCCUAUCAACAUAUUGCCAAAACAGAUGGGCGCGGCAACGUGCGCCUUCGAUGAUCUAGUAACAUGUAUAUCAGAUAUAAUUUUGUUGAGUUGCCAGCCUUCUUAUCUGCCAAGUAUCUAGGGCAGUUCCGCUUCUAGUGACCGUUCCCCUUACAAUAGAAGCACUCAGUCUCAGGUUUGGGUCCAAACUUGGGUUUCUUCACUGGAGCGGUAACUGGCUUGCCAUUUUGAAGUUUCGCUUCUUUCCCUUACCCUUCUUGAAACUAGUGGUCUUGUUGACCAUCAACACUUCAUGGUUCUUCUUGAUUUCUACCUCCGCGACCUUAAGCAUUGCAAAUAGCUCAGGGAUCGUCUUCUCCAUAACUUGUAUGUUAUAGUUCAUCACGAAGUUCUAGCAGCUAGGUGGUAGUGAUUGGAGAACUCUGUUUAUCACUGUCUUAUUAGGAAGAUUAACUCCCACUUGAUUCAAGCGAGUGUAGCACCCACACACUAUAAGCACAUGCUCACUAACUGAGCUAUUCUCCUUCAUCUUGCAGGCAAAGAACUUGCCAGAUGUCUCAUACCUCUCAACACGGGCAUGAGCCUGAAACAUCAAUUUCGGCUCUGGAACAUCUCAUAUGCUCUGUGGUAUUCAAAAUGUCUUUGGAGCCCCAAUUUCUAAGCCAUAA